rnacentral:ncRNA from 1 species
UUAACAUUGGGAGUGCAGAGGGGAUUUCCCUCGCCGGUUUAGAGGGGGUGCUCAGGAUGCAUUGAUAGCUGUGGGCAUCCGUCGAAGGGGGA